rnacentral:rRNA from 1 species
UACAUAUGGGGCAAACGUUAUUCGGAAUCACUGGGCUUAAAGGGCGCGUAGGCGGGCAUCCAAGUCUGUGGUGAAAUCCGGCAGCUUAACUGUCGAACUGCCGUGGAUACUGGGUGUCUCGAGGGAGGUAGGGGCGUGCGGAACUAUUGGUGGAGCGGUGAAAUGCGUUGAUAUCAAUAGGAACUCCGGUGGCGAAGGCGGCACGCUGGACCUCUUCUGACGCUGAGGCGCGAAAGCCAGGGGAGCAAACGGG